rnacentral:rRNA from 1 species
GAUGAACGCUGGCGGUGUGCCUAAUACAUGCAAGUCGAGCGAACAGACGAGGAGCUUACUCCUCUGACGUUAGCGGCGGACGGGUGAGUAACACGUGGAUAACCUACCUAUAAGACUGGGAUAACUUCGGGAAACCGGAGCUAAUACCGGAUAACAUGUUGAACCGCAUGGUUCAACAGUGAAAGACGGUCUUGCUGUCACUUAUAGAUGGAUCCGCGUCGCAUUAGCUAGUUGGUAAGGUAACGGCUUACCAAGGCAACGAUGCGUAGCCGACCUGAGAGGGUGAUCGGCCACACUGGAACUGAGACACGGUCCAGACUCCUACGGGAGGCAGCAGUAGGGAAUCCUCCGCAAUGGGCGAAAGCCUGACGGAGCAACGCCGCGUGAGUGAAGAAGGUCUUCGGAUCGUAAAACUCUGUUAUUAGGGAAGAACAAAUGUGUAAGUAACUAUGCACGUCUUGACGGUACCUAAUCAGAAAGCCACGGCUAACUACGUG